UUUUGGCCCUAGAAAGUAUCCGUGGUCAAUGACGUACUGCUGGCUACUCAAAGUGACGUUCAUUAACCCUUUCCCUUCCCGGCCGCAGAGCGGGCGGCUUCUAGUGAAGGCUGACCGAUUGUGGAAGUGGAAGGUUGGCUGGCCGGGCUUCUCCUUGUUCUUCAGUCGCUAAGUCGUGUCUGAUUCUCUGUGAUACCAUGAACUGCAGCACGCCAGGCUCCUCUGUCCUCCGCGAUCUCCUGGAGUUCGUUCAGUUGAAUCCUCCAGUGAAAACUCAAGAGGAGAGAAUACAGAACAAGAAUGGCAGAAGGUUCAUUGCAGCACCUAUUAGGCAGAUAGAAUGGGCUCUAUCCUUUCAUCCCAGAGGGAGAAGACCUGGCAGGUUUUCCCGUCUAUUUAAACACCUAGAACUCAGUCACACAGCUGCCCCCAGGACUGGAAGACCAUCAGACAUACUGUUAAACAAGCAUUUGGAUUCCAUUCUUUGUCCAAUACUGUAGUAAAGUUACAGGUAACUUGGCAAAUAUGCUUUCAUCCAGCAGCAGAGAUUUGUUAUUUAAUCCGGUUUAAAACUUAAAACAACUCUAACUAGUAAGCUAAAACUUAAAAUCAUUGUGGUAUCCAAGGUAGUGGAUAUCAAUCUUGGCUACACAUCAGAAUCACCUGUGGACUAAAAAAAAAACCCAACAACAGUAAUUCUGAUUUAAUUAGUCUGAAGUGGGACCUGGCCACUGAGAAUUUGGAAAGUUCCCCCAGAUCACACUAAGGUGUGGCUAAAAUUGAGCUGCUUAUUUAGGGAAUGGAGUUCAAGUUGGUGAUUUGAUUUGAUUUUCCAGUUAAAUGAGGAUUAAACCCUGUAACCUGGUUCCUCUUUUUGUGGUCACCAGAAUUAGAGAAUUAAAUGUAAAGUGUAUUUGUUUCUCUAAGUAGAAUGUCUUAGAUAUAACUGUAUCUCUCUUAUUGCUUGAGACCUCCUGCAGUGAGUUAACAUCAUUACAUACUGAAAAUGGUUUAAAUUUGAACUAUAAGCUUUCAAAUGUAUUCCAGAAAA